GUACGCACACUGUUGAAGAACUCUCUGGGUUCCCCCGGGUGUAUGCACACUACUGAAGAACUGUCCAGGUUCCCCCGGGGGUAUGCACACUACUGAAGAACUGUCCGGGUUCCCCCGGGUGUAUGCACACUACUGAAGAACUGUCCGGGUUCCCCCGGGUGUACGCACACUGUUGAAGAACUGUCCGGGUUCCCCCGGGGGUAUGCACACUGAUGAAGAACUGUCCGGGUUCCCCCGGGUGUAUGCACACUACUGAAGAACUGUCCGGGUUCCCCCGGGGGUACGCACACUACUGAAGAACUGUCCGGGUUCCCCCGGGUGUAUGCACACUACUGAAGAACUCUCCGGGUUCCCCAGGGGUACGCACACUAUUAAAGAAAUGUCCGGGUUCCCCCGGGGGUAUGCACACUACUGAAGAACUGUCUGGGUUCCCCUGGGGGUAUGCACACUGCUGAAGAACUGUCCGGGUUCCCUCGGGUGUAUGCACACUACUGAAGAACUGUCCGGGUUCCCCUGGGGGUAUGCACACUGAUGAAGAACUGUCCGGGUUCCCCUGGGGGUAUGCACACUACUGAAGAACUGCUGGGGAUCAGCCAUUGUGAGGUUCAGGGCAGGAGAGCAGCUGAUGCCUGACAGCUCCACCUCGAGCCAGGAAAACGAAAAUGGUGUUGCCGAAGGAGCCGAGCUCACCGUGGAGCAGCCUACCGGUCAGGGUAGACCUUCUCAGCUAACUGACCUUGAGCUUAGUGUGGGACAAGUCUGGGACACAGGCAGGGGUAAGGACUGACAGGAAGACAAUCUGCAGACUUGAACUGGCAGAGAGCUGUUGUGAGACGGCGAGAACAUCCAGGGAAAGAUGAGAGAGAAACACGGGCAGGGAGACUAUGUGCUGCGGAAUGCCUGGCACCUGCUGGAGAGCCCGGCGGGAAAAGGGGGUUCAAGGGCACACGAAGGAGGGGACACUUGCAAGAGGCAGAAAGGACAGGGUCCAGGGUCAGGCAAGCCAGGCUGGACAGUGGCCUCGGGAGGUAGCACACAGGAAGUCAAGGUCACUGGGCUGUUUGCAGUGAGCACGAAAGAAUAUGCAGUGAGGAUGAAGCAUGAGAGAUUUUGAGGAUUAGGAACAGAAAGGCAGUCAGUGAGGUGGUGAGGCUCAGAUCUGAACCCAGUCAGUGAGGCAGUGAGGCCCGGAUCUGAGCCCGGUCAGUGAGGCAGUGAGGCCCGGAUCUGAGCCCGGUCAGUGAGGCGGUGAGGCCCGGAUCUGAGCCCGGUCAGUGAGGCGGUGAGGCCCGGAUCUGAGCCCGGUCAGUGAGGCGGUGAGGCCCGGGUCUGAACCCCGUCAGUGAGGCGGUGAGGCCCGGAUCUGAGCCCAGUCAGUGAGGCGGUGAGCCUGGAUCUGAACCCGGUCAGUGAGGCGGUGAGCCUGGAUCUGAACCCGGUCAGUGAGGCGGUGAGCCUGGAUCUGAACCCGGUCAGUGAGGCGGUGAGGCCCAGAUCUGAACCCGGUCAGUGAGGCGGUGAGCCUGGAUCUGAACCCGGUCAGUGAGGCGGUGAGCCUGGAUCUGAACCCGGUCAGUGAGGCGGUGAGGCCCGGAUCUGAGCCCGGUCAGUGAGGCGGUGAGGCCGGAUCUGAACCCAGCGGGAUGCAGACCACAGCAGCUGGAGGAAAGAGCCUGAGCAGGAGCAGAAAUGCUUUGCAGGGAGACAGGAAGUGAGAAAACACACGCAAGUGCUGAGGUUCAAGAUCCUGGGCAUUUUACAGGCCUGCUCCUUUUCACUAUGUGUAUCUGCUAAAAUGGAGGCGAGAACACCAACAGUAUUGAAUACCACGGAUGUGACUCCCUUGCAGUGAGAGAAAAAAGAGGCAUCUCAAGUCUCUCCCCCACUGCCCCAGGGCACGCUCAGGGGAAGGGGCAGGAGCCAGCCUAGGUCUGUCCGCUCCUCCGAGGCUGGACU